rnacentral:rRNA from 1 species
UACGGGGGGGGCAAGCGUUGUUCGGAAUUACUGGGCGUAAAGCGUGCGCAGGCGGUUGUGCAAGACAGGUGUGAAAUCCCCGGGCUUAACCUGGGAACUGCACUUGUGACUGCACAGCUGGAGUACGGCAGAGGGGGAUGGAAUUCCGCGUGUAGCAGUGAAAUGCGUAGAUAUCUGGAGGAACAUCGGUGGCGAAGGCGGCAUCCUGGACCGGUAUUGACGCUGAGGCGCGAAAGCCAGGGGAGCAAACGGG